AGAGUUUGAUCCUGGCUCAGGAUGAACGCUAGCUACAGGCUUAACACAUGCAAGUCGAGGGGAAACGAUAUUGGAAGCUUGCUUCCGAUAGGCGUCGACCGGCGCACGGGUGAGUAACGCGUAUCCAACCUGCCCACCACUUGGGGAUAACCUUGCGAAAGUAAGACUAAUACCCAAUGAUAUCUCUAGAAGACAUCUGAAAGAGAUUAAAGAUUUAUCGGUGAUGGAUGGGGAUGCGUCUGAUUAGCUUGUUGGCGGGGUAACGGCCCACCAAGGCGACGAUCAGUAGGGGUUCUGAGAGGAAGGUCCCCCACAUUGGAACUGAGACACGGUCCAAACUCCUACGGGAGGCAGCAGUGAGGAAUAUUGGUCAAUGGGCGAUGGCCUGAACCAGCCAAGUAGCGUGAAGGAUGACUGCCCUAUGGGUUGUAAACUUCUUUUAUAAAGGAAUAAAGUCGGGUAUGGAUACCCGUUUGCAUGUACUUUAUGAAUAAGGAUCGGCUAACUCCGUGCCAGCAGCCGCGGUAAUACGGAGGAUCCGAGCGUUAUCCGGAUUUAUUGGGUUUAAAGGGAGCGUAGAUGGAUGUUUAAGUCAGUUGUGAAAGUUUGCGGCUCAACCGUAAAAUUGCAGUUGAUACUGGAUAUCUUGAGUGCAGUUGAGGCAGGCGGAAUUCGUGGUGUAGCGGUGAAAUGCUUAGAUAUCACGAAGAACUCCGAUUGCGAAGGCAGCCUGCUAAGCUGCAACUGACAUUGAGGCUCGAAAGUGUGGGUAUCAAACAGGAUUAGAUACCCUGGUAGUCCACACGGUAAACGAUGAAUACUCGCUGUUUGCGAUAUACAGUAAGCGGCCAAGCGAAAGCGUUAAGUAUUCCACCUGGGGAGUACGCCGGCAACGGUGAAACUCAAAGGAAUUGACGGGGGCCCGCACAAGCGGAGGAACAUGUGGUUUAA
rnacentral:rRNA from 1 species